CCUACGGGUGGCAGCAGUGAGGAAUAUUGGUCAAUGGGCGCGAGCCUGAACCAGCCAAGUAGCGUGAAGGAUGACUGCCCUACGGGUUGUAAACUUCUUUUAUAAAGGAAUAAAGUGAGGCACGUGUGCCUUUUUGUAUGUACUUUAUGAAUAAGGAUCGGCUAACUCCGUGCCAGCAGCCGCGGUAAUACGUAGGUGGCAAGCGUUGUCCGGAUUUACUGGGUGUAAAGGGAGCGUAGGCGGGAAGCCAAGUCAGCUGUGAAAACUACGGGCUUAACCUGUAGACUGCAGUUGAUACUGGCAUUCUUGAGUAAAGUAGAGGUAGGCGGAAUUCGGGGUGUAGCGGUGAAAUGCGUAGAUAUCAGGAAGAACACCGAUGGCGAAGGCAGCCAACUGGGCUGUAACUGACGCUGAGGCUCGAAAGUGUGGGGAGCAAACAGGAUUAGAUACCCCGGUAGUC
rnacentral:rRNA from 1 species